rnacentral:rRNA from 1 species
UACGUAGGGGGCUAGCGUUGUCCGGAAUCAUUGGGCGUAAAGAGCGUGUAGGCGGCUCGGUAAGUCCGCUGUGAAAGUCCAGGGCUCAACCCUGGAAUGCCAGUGGAAACUGUCGAGCUAGAGUACUGGAGAGGGUAACGGAAUUCACGGUGUAGCAGUGAAAUGCGUAGAUAUCGUGAGGAACACCAGAGGCGAAGGCGGUUACCUGGACAGUUACUGACGCUCAGGCACGAAAGCAUGGGGAGCAAAAGGG